rnacentral:lncRNA from 1 species
AUGAUCCCGGGGUCCUGCAUUUUGGGCACGCUGCUCCGCUGCCGCUCAUCCUCCCAGCGCGCCCGGGAGGUCUGGAAGCAAACCUCAGCCCGUGAUGCAGAUGGGGAAACCGAGGCACGCCGCAAACCGAGCCCGGCGCAUCCCUCCGGGACGGGGUCAGCGCGGCGCAGCCCGUCUGCUCCCAGUGAGCCUCCGAAACAGCCCUGGCUCCCCCUCGGCCUUUCCCCUGCCCUGGGAACGGGAGGCGCUUCCCGGCCCCGCCGUGCCGGGCGCGUUUGCUUGCUCGGCUGCACAAGCACGCCUUGCUGCCUUCGUACAAUAGGCGCCUUCCCCGGGCGGCCGCGCCGCCUCGAUCCCCUGCCGAGCCGAGCCGGGCCGGGCAUCCCGCCGGAGCCGCAGGGCCGAGCAUCCGGGGUGGGAAUGCAGCRCGCACAGUGCCCUGGUUGCAUCCCCGGAGGAGGCCGCCGGCCCCACCAGCGCGGGGAGUCGGGCGCCCACCGCUCAGCGGCCACGGCGCUGUUAAAAGCCCAUCCGCGAGGCGGAGGGACUCCAGCCCUCUCCAGGGAAGAGCUGCGGGGAGGCGCCGGCAAAGCCGCUUCCCCCUCGCUGCGGAGGAGCCGCAUCGCCCGCCGCCAGCCCCGCGUCAUCUGCCAAGGAGCUGGAAAGAGGCCACCAAGGAAAUUCGCUGAACUCCCCUUGUUUGCACACUCCCUCCAGAAGCGCAAACACAAACAGUUUUCCCUCCCCGCCCCCUGGGCCGCAUCCAGCCCGGCGUCUCCUCCCGGCGAGCCGAGCUCCUCGUGCCUUGCAGGAGCGUCACGCGCCGCCAGGGCGAGGACAGGGACAGCUCUGCUCCCGUUGGCGGCGAAGCCUCCUGAGAUGGGCUUUGAGAGCCACCAGCCCCAGCCCGCGCCGAGACGCCGCACGCUUUACCCGAGGUUUAAGGGAAACGGAUCCAGCACCGGCACCGUACUGCUCCGGAGUUGCCACUGCUGCAAUCCCAGGGAGGAGAAGGCGAGCUGCCACGCUGGAGAUCCCUGGUGCAUUAGCCCAGGGGCUGGCGGCAGCGGCCAGACCAGACGCUCCGGAGGGACGCGUAAAAGCCCCCUGGGAAGCCCGAGGGGGUUAAUCCAGCUCCCCCAUGAGGUCUCAUUCUGA